AUUGAACGCUGGCGGCAGGCCUAACACAUGCAAGUCGAACGAGUGGCGGACGGGUGAGUAAUGUCUGGGAAACUGCCUGAUGGAGGGGGUUAACUACUGGAAACGGUAGCUAAUACCGCAUACCAUCAGAUGUGCCCCGAUGGGAUUAGCUGGUUGGUGGGGUAACGGUGCACCAAGGCGACGAUCCCUAGCUGGUCUGAGAGGAGGACCAGCCACACUGUAACUGAGACACGGUCCAGACGCCUACGGGAGGAAGCAGUGGGGAAUAUUGCACAAUGGGCGCAAGCCUGAUAAAGCCAUGCCGCGUGUAUGAAGAAGGCCUUCGGGUUGUAAAGUACUUGCAGCGUGGAGGCGUUACCCGCAGAAGAAGCACCGGCUAACUCCGUGCCAGCAGCCGCGGUAAUAC
rnacentral:rRNA from 1 species